rnacentral:rRNA from 1 species
GACGAACGCUGGCGGCGUGCUUAACACAUGCAAGUCGAACGGAAAGGCGCUGCUUUUGUGGGGUGCUCGAGUGGCGAACGGGUGAGUAACACGUGAGUAACCUGCCCUUGACUUUGGGAUAACUUCAGGAAACUGGGGCUAAUACCGGAUAGGAGCUCCUGCUGCAUGGUGGGGGUUGGAAAGUUUCGGCGGUUGGGGAUGGACUCGCGGCUUAUCAGCUUGUUGGUGGGGUAGUGGCUUACCAAGGCUUUGACGGGUAGCCGGCCUGAGAGGGUGACCGGCCACAUUGGGACUGAGAUACGGCCCAGACUCCUACGGGAGGCAGCAGUGGGGAACAUUGCACAAUGGGCGGAAGCCUGAUGCGGCAACGCCGCGUGCGGGAUGACGGCCUUCGGGUUGUAAACCGCUUUCGCCUGUGACGAAGCGUGAGUGACGGUAAUGGGUAAAGAAGCACCGGCUAACUACGUG